rnacentral:snRNA from 1 species
AAAUUCUUUAGCUCUAUGAGAGU